GUGUGUGUGUGUGUGUGUGUGUGAGUUUUGAGUGUAUUUAUUGAUUUCAUGGAAUAAGGGGUGGGUCUUGAUAAGUUAUGCUUCUACCCACCCCCUUUCGGUCACAUGGGUUUUGAUUUUGGUCAGUUUUUGGAUUAUUGUAUUUUGUUUUCUGUUUUGCUGUAUUGUUGUUUUGUUUUGUGUUUGUAAAUAUUGUAUUUCUUUUUAUUCAACCAUGUGUGUCGAAAUAAAAUAAUUCAAUUCAAUUCAA